AUUGAACGCUGGCGGCAGGCCUAACACAUGCAAGUCGAGCGGCAGCGGAAAGUAGCUUGCUACUUUGCCGGCGAGCGGCGGACGGGUGAGUAAUGUCUGGGAAACUGCCUGAUGGAGGGGGAUAACUACUGGAAACGGUAGCUAAUACCGCAUAACGUCGCGAGACCAAAGAGGGGGACCUUCGGGCCUCUUGCCAUCAGAUGUGCCCAGAUGGGAUUAGCUAGUAGGUGGGGUAACGGCUCACCUAGGCGACGAUCCCUAGCUGGUCUGAGAGGAUGACCAGCCACACUGGAACUGAGACACGGUCCAGACUCCUACGGGAGGCAGCAGUGGGGAAUAUUGCACAAUGGGCGCAAGCCUGAUGCAGCCGUGCCGCGUGUAUGAAGAAGGCCUUCGGGUUGUAAAGUACUUUCAGCGGGGAGGAAGGUGUUGAGGUUAAUAACCUCAGCAAUUGACGUUACCCGCAGAAGAAGCACCGGCUAACUCCGUGCCAGCCGCCGCGGUAAGAC
rnacentral:rRNA from 1 species